AACGCUGGCGGCGUGCCUAAAACAUGCAAGUCGAACGAGGUCCAACUCGUGGCAACACGGGGGACGACCUAGUGGCGAACGGGUGCGUAACACGUGAGGAACCUGCCCCGGGGACCGGGAUAACCCCCCGAAAGGGGAGCUAAUACCGGAUGUCCCCCUCGCAUCGCAUGGUGCGACGAGGAAAUGGAUUCCGCUCCGGGAUGGCCUCGCGGCCCAUCAGCUUGUUGGUGAGGUAAUGGCUCACCAAGGCAGCGACGGGUAGCUGGUCUGAGAGGACGAUCAGCCACACUGGGACUGAGACACGGCCCAGACUCCUACGGGAGGCAGCAGUUAGGAAUCUUGCGCAAUGGGCGAAAGCCUGACGCAGCAACGCCGCGUGGGGGACGAAGGUCUUCGGAUUGUAAACCCCUUUCAGCAGGGACGAAAUUGACGGUACCUGCAGAAGAAGCCCCGGCUAACUACGUGCCAGCAGCCGCGGUAACACGUAGGGGGCGAGCGUUGUCCGGAUUUACUGGGCGUAAAGAGCUCGUAGGCGGUUCGAUAAGUCGGGUGUGAAAACUCUGGGCUCAACCCAGAGAGGCCACUCGAUACUGUCGUGACU
rnacentral:rRNA from 1 species